GGGAGGCUUUGAAGCGUGAACGCCAGUUUGCGUGGAGCCAACCUUGAAAUACCACCCUGGCAACUUUGAGGUUCUAACUCAGGUCCGUUAUCCGGAUCGAGGACAGUGUAUGGUGGGUAGUUUGACUGGGGCGGUCUCCUCCUAAAGAGUAACGGAGGAGUACGAAGGUGCGCUCAGACCGGUCGGAAAUCGGUCGUAGAGUAUAAAGGCAAAAGCGCGCUUGACUGCGAGACAGACACGUCGAGCAGGUACGAAAGUAGGUCUUAGUGAUCCGGUGGUUCUGUAUGGAAGGGCCAUCGCUCAACGGAUAAAAGCUACCCUGGGGAUAACAGGCUUAUCUCCCCCAAGAGUUCACAUCGACGGGGAGGUUUGGUACCUCGAUGUCGGCUCAUCGCAUCCUGGGGCUGUAGUCGGUCCCAAGGGUUGGGCUGUUCGCCCAUUAAAGCGGUACGCGAGCUGGGUUUAGAACGUCGUGAGACAGUUCGGUCCCUAUCUGCCGUGGACGUUUGAGAUUUGAGAGGGGCUGCUCCUAGUACGAGAGGACCGGAGUGGACGAACCUCUGGUGUUCCGGUUGUCACGCCAGUGGCAUUGCCGGGUAGCUAUGUUCGGAAGAGAUAACCGCUGAAAGCAUCUAAGC
rnacentral:rRNA from 1 species